rnacentral:tRNA from 1 species
GGAGAGGUGGCCGAGCGGCUUAAGGCGCAGCUUUGGAAAAGCUGUGUAGCGCAAGCUACCCUGGGUUCAAAUCCCAGCCUCUCCGCCA